rnacentral:sRNA from 1 species
AGAAAAGUACAGUCCUAGCUGGGCACGGUGGCUCACGCCUGUAAUCCGAGCACUUUGGGAGGCUAAGGUGGGCAGAACACCUGAGGUCGGGAGUUCGAGACCAGCCUGACCAACAUGGAGAAACCCUGUCUCUACUAAAAAAUACAAAAAUUAGCUGGGCGUGGUGGCACAUGUUUAUAAUCCAGCUAAUCUGGAGGCUGAGAUCUGCCGGCAGGCCCUGAAGUUUCUGACACAGAUCCGGGCCCAGCCCCUCAUCAACCUGCAGUUGGUGAACGCGUCUCUGUACGAGCAUGUGGAGCGGAUGCACCUCAUUGGGAGGAGCCGGGAGCAGCUGAAGCUCCUGGGGGAUUACCUGGGCCUGUGCCGGAGCGGUGCCCUGAAGGAGCUCAGCAAGAGGCUCAACCACAGGAAUUAUCUCUUGGAGUCUCCGCAUAGGUUCAGUGUUGCUGACCUCCAGCAGAUCGCAGACGGGGUGUAUGA